rfam:Thauera linaloolentis 47Lol = DSM 12138 Cont45, whole genome shotgun sequence.
UACAGGUGCCGGCGUGGUCUCGAUCGAGCCACCCGGUUAAACGGGAACAAGGUGAGCAGUGUCCGGGGCGGUUGCCGCCCCUCGCACCGCAAGGCCUUGGCUGCCCCCGCAACGGUAAGUACAUCAGGAUUCACCCUGGCCACGGCUGUUGAGCGAUCAAUGCCCGGGCCAGCCACUGAUGCGCCACGUGGCUUCCGCCAAGGAAUCGUGCGAGCGCAUCGGGAAGGCGGUGGUUCCGGCAUCCGACGCGCGCCCGACGCGCCCGGAUGCGUUGUGCGAGCCCGGAUACCGGCCUGUU